rnacentral:lncRNA from 1 species
AAAGUCUAACAUAGUCUAGCAAUGUGAUUUGUUUUGAUAAACAAAAGCAGUUUAUCAAAGUGGGAUUGGGAGGCCUGUCAACAGGUAUUUUUAGGAUUGGCUAAACAGGAAGAGCAGUAACAUCCUGAAAGAACUGUAUCUUUUGGUAGAUCCAAUCAGGCUAGCCAUCCACCAGUGUCACCUCUUAGAUCAGGCUCCAGGGUCAAAUCACAGUGCACGAUUCACUUCAUCUAAAGUGGGGAGGGUCAAAACCACUCAAAAGGCAAGUGUGUGAACAGAUUAAAAAUAGGCAGUUUUGUAAAGCUGGGCUGUGGUUCUUCCCAAAGGCAUGCAUCAGAAUCACCGGGAGGACUUGUGCGACCACAGAGCACUGGAUCCAACCCGAGACAUUUUGAUGCAGUUGGUCUCCAGUGGACUCAAGAAUUUUCAUUUCUAGCAAGCUCCCAGAACAAUUGGCAGCAAAAAAGCUUCCUUCACACUGAAGACCAAGCUCCAGGCAGGAGGAAAUGAAGCACUCCAGCAAUGUGUCAGAUAGGACCUGUUCCAAGAGUCUGAAUCUUGGAGUGAAGACAUGCAUGGAACAUGAAGCCAGUCAACAACAGCCAUGAUGUGUAGCAUGAGUGAGAAAUACACUCAG